rnacentral:tRNA from 1 species
GGCCCGGCGGGAGUCCGGCCAUCAGCUCUCCGACCCGGACCGGGCCGAGCUGGAUCGGCUCACGGCGGCGGUUCAGGCCGCCGCCGGGCCG